AGUGAACGCUGGCGGUAGGCCUAACACAUGCAAGUCGAACGGCAGCACAGUAAGAGCUUGCUCUUACGGGUGGCGAGUGGCGGACGGGUGAGGAAUACAUCGGAAUCUACUUUUUCGUGGGGGAUAACGUAGGGAAACUUACGCUAAUACCGCAUACGACCUACGGGUGAAAGCAGGGGAUCUUCGGACCUUGCGCGAUUGAAUGAGCCGAUGUCGGAUUAGCUAGUUGGCGGGGUAAAGGCCCACCAAGGCGACGAUCCGUAGCUGGUCUGAGAGGAUGAUCCGCCACACUGGAACUGAGACACGGCCCAGACUCCUACGGGAGGCAGCAGUGGGGAAUAUUGGACAAUGGGCGCAAGCCUGAUCCAGCCAUACCGCGUGGGUGAAGAAGGCGUUCGGGUUGUAAAGCCCUUUUGUUGGGAAAGAAAAGCAGCAGGUUAAUACCCCGCUGUUCUGACGGUACCCAAAGAAUAAGCACCGGCUAACUUCGUG
rnacentral:rRNA from 1 species